rnacentral:rRNA from 1 species
AUACGUAGGGGGCGAGCGUUGUCCGGAAUGAUUGGGCGUAAAGGGCGCGUAGGCGGCCCGGUAAGUCUGGAGUGAAAGUCCUGUUUUUAAGAUGGGAAUUGCUUUGGAUACUGUCGGGCUUGAGUGCAGGAGAGGUAAGUGGAAUUCCCAGUGUAGCGGUGAAAUGCGUAGAGAUUGGGAGGAACACCAGUGGCGAAGGCGACUUACUGGACUGUAACUGACGCUGAGGCGCGAAAGUGUGGGGAGCAAACAGGAUUAGAUACCCUGGUAGUCCACACUGUAAACGAUGAAUGCUAGGUGUAGGGGGUAUCGACCCCCUCUGUGCCGCAGUUAACACAAUAAGUAUUCCGCCUGGGGAGUACGGCCGCAAGGUUGAAACUUAAAGGAAUUGACGGGG